GCCACACACACAAUCUCUGUCUCUCCAUCUCUCUGUGUGUGUGCGCCUCACUCUCUGUCUGUCUGUCUCUCUCUCUCUCUAUCGUCUUGUCUCUGCUAUCUCGCUGUGCACUUCUCUGUCUCUCUCCUCUUUCACUGUCUCUUUGGUCUUUGUGUGUGUGUGUGCCCCUCUCUGUCUCUGCCUCCCUCUGUGUGUGCUUCUGCCUUUCUCUCUCUCCGUCGCUCCCUGUGACCGUCGACCCCCCACCCCCUCUGCACCGCCCCUCCCCCCGCCUUUUCCUCCAUCUCUCUUACUCUCUAUCCGAGCCUCUCCACCCGCUCAGCAGGGAGCGUUGUGAGUUUCUUUCGAACAAAGUUUAAAGAUCUCUGUUUGAACCCAAGCCAUCCGCAAUCAGACUGCAUUUCUAAUCCCCCCCCCCGCCCUCUCUCUCUCUCACACACACACACACACACACAGUCUGUCUCUUUCUCCCUUUCAGUCAAUCCCCUUCCUCUCUUGGUCCUACUCAAGCCUUUUCCCACCCCCGACUCUGCCUCGGCGAUGAGUCCGCUGUCUGGAUCCCUUUUCCCAGGCGUGGGCUGAGGACCCAGCGGUUCGGCAGCGGGGAUCAUCGCACCACGCUCCCGGACCCCUACAACCUCCUGUUCUCCAGCGGCCUCCAGCAUGACCACCGGGCUGGGAGCAGGCAUCCGGGCUGCCGGAGCGCUCGCUGCUCAGUGGCUCAGCCCUGCGCCGCCUUUGCCGGGAGCGGGGAUCCGAGGUGGGAGAAGGCCUCUUCGCCCGGCUCCUGGGCACAGCUACCUGCCUGAAUAGCUGCCUGGCACCGAGCCUGCGCUCCCCGAGCACCCGGCCGCGGGUCCGCGACGCCUUCCGGGGCUGAGUAGCCGAAAACUAUCUCCUACUGCAAGGGUAAGGACUGCCUGCAAAAUCUGAGAUUGGGCUUUGAAAGACAUCAACCUUUGCUUGCGAGAGAUAAUGGUAACUGCAGAUGCUAGAGAAUGCGAGAUAACAAUGUGUGGAGCUGGAUGAACACAGCAGGCCAAGCAGCAUCUCAGGAGCACAAAAGCUGACAUUUCGGGCCUCGACCCUUCAUGCGAGAGAACGUAACGUUUUUAAAGAAGAAAUUGCCCCAGUCAAACAAGAAGUCAAAAUAUUAAAUGAUCUGGCCAGUCAAUUAUCUCCGCUUGAUGUCUCUUUCUCUCCAAAGAUUUCUCACCAGCUUGAUGACCUAAAUAUGAGGUUGAAAUUUAUACAGCAGCAGGAGGUGAGGAGGCAGAGACUGCAACCCUGAGGUCACGGACGGAAGGAAAAGAGGCUCUUACUUGGAGAUUGAGAAGCAGGAGAGGGCACAACCCAGAGGUUUGGGAGUGGAGAGAGGCUGCAAGUUGGAGGUCAAGGUGAGGAGAGGCACCAGUUGAUGUUGUAGAUUAAAUGUAAUACAGAAAAUUGUGAAGUUUGGUUCGAAAAACAGUACAUAAAACAGAAGGAACCAUUCUAAAUGGGUGCAGAAGCAGACCGGUUUUGCUGUUCUGUGCAUAAACCAUUCAGUUAAACCACAGCUAGUCUGAGCUUCAACUCUGUUUACCUGCUGAAAAGGCAUGUCGACUGAAAACAUUAGCUUGCUUUCUCUCCAUGGCUGCUGCCUGACCUACUGUGGUCUCCGGCAUUUUUUGUCGUCAGUCUGUUUACCUCCCUUUCUUCUAUAUCCUUUCAUAGCCUUAGCUAUCAAAAAUAAUUUCAGUCACACUCAUUCUUAUUGAUCCAGCACCCACAUUCUUUUAUGAGAGAGUAUUUGAGAUCUUGACUGUUGUUUGUAUUAAGAUAAAAGUGCUUCCUGAUUUCAGUUCUGAAUGGCUUGCCAUUGAAUCUCAUAUAUUAAUAGAUAAUACUUCUGAUAAGAAAUGUUUUCAGAGUGUUAUAGUGGAAGCUUCUAUGUUCUGUGCAUCCUCUAUCUAGCCACCAGACUCAGAGUACCUGUUGGGACCA